UAGUCUCCACCAAUACCAAAUCCUAGCCAGAAUCGGAAAAAACAAAGCGUCGUAAUAACACUUUUCGGCGAACUUCCAAAGGACAGACCACAUCCGACGGAACAGAUGACCAUGAGCAUAAGUGUCAUCCCUAUAAAAUCAGUAUUAAUUAAUUUUCAACCACCUCAAUUAAAAUCGUGAUUAAAUAUAAUUAUUUUACCAUAAACAUUCUUCCUUCCCAGUUUAUCGCCAAGCCAACCGAAGAAGAGUUGGCCGGAGAGAGUUCCACAGAAGGCAACACCGUUAACAGCAGCGGCGACAUUCGGCGGAAGACUUCCAGGGGUAUCAGACGUG
rnacentral:lncRNA from 1 species